rnacentral:rRNA from 1 species
UUUAGAGUUUGGAUUCCUGGCUCAGGACGAACGCUGGCGGCGUGCCUAAUACAUGCAAGUCGUACGCUUCUUUCUUCCACGAGAGCUUGCUCCACAUGAAAAAGAGGAGUGGCGAACGGGUGAGUAACACGUGGGUAACCUGCCCAUCAGAAGGGGAUAACACUUGGAAACAGGUGCUAAUACCGCAUAACAGUUGAUACCGCAUGGCAUAGGAGUGAAAGGCGCUUUCGGGUGUCGCUGAUGGAUGGACCCGCGGUGCAUUAGCUAGUUGGUGAGGUAACGGCUCACCAAGGCCACGAUGCAUAGCCGACCUGAGAGGGUGAUCGGCCACACUGGGACUGAGACACGGCCCAGACUCCUACGGGAGGCAGCAGUAGGGAAUCUUCGGCAAUGGACGAAAGUCUGACCGAGCAACGCCGCGUGAGUGAAGAAGGUUUUCGGAUCGUAAAACUCUGUUGUUAGAGAAGAACAAGGACGAGAGUAACUGUUCGUCCCUUGACGGUAUCUAACCAGAAAGCCACGGCUAACUACGUGCCAGCAGCCGCGGUAAUACGUAGGUGGCAAGCGUUGUCCGGAUUUAUUGGGCGUAAAGCGAGCGCAGGCGGUUUCUUAAGUCUGAUGUGAAAGCCCCCGGCUCAACCGGGGAGGGUCAUUGGAAACUGGGAGACUUGAGUGCAGAAGAGGAGAGUGGAAUUCCAUGUGUAGCGGUGAAAUGCGUAGAUAUAUGGAGGAACACCAGUGGCGAAGGCGGCUCUCUGGUCUGUAACUGACGCUGAGGCUCGAAAGCGUGGGGAGCAAACAGGAUUAGAUACCCUGGUAGUCCACGCCGUAAACGAUGAGUGCUAAGUGUUGGGAGGGUUUCCGCCCUUCAGUGCUGCAGCUAACGCAUUAAGCACUUCCGCCUGGGGAGUACGACCGCAAGGUUGAAACUCAAAGGAAUUGACGGGGGCCCGCACAAGCGGUGGAGCAUGUGGUUUAAUUCGAAGCAACGCGAAGAACCUUACCAGGUCUUGACAUCCUUUGACCACUCUAGAGAUAGAGCUUUCCCUUCGGGGACAAAGUGACAGGUGGUGCAUGGUUGUCGUCAGCUCGUGUCGUGAGAUGUUGGGUUAAGUCCCGCAACGAGCGCAACCCUUAUUGUUAGUUGCCAUCAUUCAGUUGGGCACUCUAGCAAGACUGCCGGUGACAAACCGGAGGAAGGUGGGGAUGACGUCAAAUCAUCAUGCCCCUUAUGACCUGGGCUACACACGUGCUACAAUGGGAAGUACAACGAGUCGCUAAAUCGCGAGGCUAUGCUAAUCUCUUAAAGCUUCUCUCAGUUCGGAUUGCAGGCUGCAACUCGCCUGCAUGAAGCCGGAAUCGCUAGUAAUCGCGGAUCAGCACGCCGCGGUGAAUACGUUCCCGGGCCUUGUACACACCGCCCGUCACACCACGAGAGUUUGUAACACCCGAAGUCGGUGAGGUAACCUUUUUGGAGCCAGCCGCCUAAGGUGGGAUAGAUGAUUGGGGUGAAGUCGUAACAAGGUAACCAGAG